AACGAACGCUGGCGGCAGGCCUAACACAUGCAAGUCGAGCGAAGCCUUCGGGCUUAGCGGCGGACGGGUGAGUAACGCGUGGGAACGUGCCCUUUGGUACGGAAUAGCCCCGGGAAACUGGGAGUAAUACCGUAUGUGCCCUUCGGGGGAAAGAUUUAUCGCCAAAGGAUCGGCCCGCGUUGGAUUAGGUAGUUGGUGGGGUAAUGGCCUACCAAGCCGACGAUCCAUAGCUGGUUUGAGAGGAUGAUCAGCCACACUGGGACUGAGACACGGCCCAGACUCCUACGGGAGGCAGCAGUGGGGAAUCUUAGACAAUGGGGGAAACCCUGAUCUAGCCAUGCCGCGUGAGCGAUGAAGGCCUUAGGGUUGUAAAGCUCUUUCAGUGGGGAAGAUAAUGACGGUACCCACAGAAGAAGCCCCGGCUAACUCCGUGCCAGCCGCCGCAGUAAAAC
rnacentral:rRNA from 1 species